CCUACGGGUGGCAGCAGUGAGGAAUAUUGGUCAAUGGGCGGGAGCCUGAACCAGCCAAGUCGCGUGAGGGACGACGGUCCUAUGGAUUGUAAACCUCUUUUGUCGGGGAACAAAGGCGCCCACGGGUGGGCGGAUGAGUGUACCCGAAGAAAAAGCAUCGGCUAACUCCGUGCCAGCAGCCGCGGUAAUACGGAGGGGGCAAGCGUUAUCCGGAUUCACGGGGUGUAAAGGGAGCGUAGACGGCCAGGCAAGCCUGGAGUGAAAGCCCGGGGCCCAACCCCGGGACUGCUCUGGGAACUGUCCGGCUGGAGGGCGGGAGGGGCAGGCGGAAGUCCUGGGGGAGCGGUGAAAGGCGUAGAUAUCAGGAGGAACACCGGCGGCGAAGGCGGCCGGCUGGACCGCGACUGACGUUGAGGCUCGAAAGCGUGGGGAGCGAACAGGAUUAGAUACCCCAGUAGUC
rnacentral:rRNA from 1 species